AACGAACGCUGGCGGCAGGCCUAACACAUGCAAGUCGAACACCCCGCAAGGGGAGUGGCGCACGGGUGAGUAACGCGUGGGAAUAUGCCCUUCGGUUCGGAAUAACACAGGGAAACUUGUGCUAAUACCGGAUACGAUCUACGGAUGAAAGAUUUAUCGCCGAGGGAGUAGCCCGCGUAGGAUUAGCUAGUUGGUGAGGUAAUGGCUCACCAAGGCGACGAUCCUUAGCUGGUCUGAGAGGAUGAUCAGCAACACUGGGACUGAGACACGGCCCAGACUCCUACGGGAGGCAGCAGUGGGGAAUAUUGGACAAUGGGCGAAAGCCUGAUCCAGCCAUGCCGCGUGAGUGAUGAAGGCCUUAGGGUUGUAAAGCUCUUUCGCCAGGGAAGAUAAUGACGGUACCUGGAAAAGAAGCCUCGGCUAACUCCGUGCCAGCAGCCGCCGUAA
rnacentral:rRNA from 1 species